GGUCAGACCACAGAAGACAGCGCGCUAGUGUAUCUAGUCUUCUACAUAUAUCUAUGGUCAGCACGUCUGGUAGCAUCUCUGGCUGCUGUUGAUCUUGUUUUUGGAGUAAAACACGGUGGAAGCUGAAUUAGUGAGGAUGACUCCUGCUCCUGUCAUCUCUAAGCUCCUCACAUCUUUACCUACACAUGAGGAAAAUCACUCCUGUAGAAUGCAGAUGUUCAGAGGGAGAUGAUGCCACAUCUGGUCCAGCUGAUGGAAGGUCUUGAAGUUCUCUGACUGGCCUCGACUGAAGAUGGUCGUCUCACUGGAUUUAAGGUUCAGAUGCUCAGUAACAAACUUCACCAAUGUGCCAACAGGGAAGCUUUAGGUUUAUUAAAUGUUGCUAUGAAGGUAUCGCUGUUUUUCUUUGUGAAUGCAAUGUGCUCCAACUGAAACUUGAAUUAGAACUUAGAAGUAAAUCCUUCUAUCUGAAAGGAUUUAGUUGCAUUAAUAACCUCAUAACAUUGUAAUUUUUAUUCCAGUCUUGGUUGGAAAUAGAAUCUCUGUAUUGAUUCAGGUAAAAACUGAACUUCACAGCAUGUUGGAGCAAAACAACCAGAUGAAAACUGUGAUGGUGUUGGAUUGUCAGACCGUAAUGUUGCAGCUCAAAGCAGCUUUUCUAUCUCAGUUCAUUCUGACAUUCAGCUAUGAAUCAACACAGCAGAUGGUGAUCCACGCUGUGGAAGUCUCACAUCUCCUGAUUUAAUGGAGCUGCUUUGCACUUUUUACAGUUUAUUCACCAACACUUUAUUUAAUAAAAGUCCCAUCUAGUUUUUAUGAGGAAUGUGAUGUUUUAAUUUCUCUGUGAAUAACUGCAGUCUAAUGCAACAGCUGGAGUUGUAACAUCUGUCCUGAUAUUGAUCAUGAAGUAUUGAUCAGAAUACUUAUGGUUAGCAGUAAUCCCUGAAGUUUUACAUUAAAAUCUUUACUUGUGUUGUGAACUUUGGUAAGAAGCAGAAAUGUUAGCGUUGCUAUGGAUACAUGAGUAUUAAAUUCUGUCCAUGUUUCCAUUUUGGGAAAUGCAGUCCAGCAGAUGAGUUUGUUUUUACUGCCAGCUACCAUUCAGUCUGAGAUAUUAAAAAUAAAUAAAUAUGCAUAAUGUGGAAAUUAGCAGAUUUUAUUUUUAUUUAUUCCUACAGCUGCUGCAUGGAAGUUCCAGAAUGUGGAGGAAUUUAGUCUCACAAUCACAGACAAUAAAUAUUAUCUGAAAGUUGGGUUAUUGUUGUUUAUCAGCACAAUACAAAAAGAUUAAUGUUAGAAAUAUUCCAGUUAAGACUGUAGAAUAUCAUGAUUUAUGUAAAUUUACCUCAAUAAUAUGAAUGUUCAGGUUAAGAUUGUACAGUGAUAUUUAUAAUGUAACUUUAGCUGAUUAAAUUUUAUGACUCUGCACUAAAGUACUAUUUAAAUUUACAUCAUUGUAAUAUUUAAGGUCAGACCCUACAGUAUUGAGAUUAAGAAAUCAAAUAUUCUAUAAAAUGUAAAUACACUCAUUUGGAGAUAUUUAAGUGAGACUCUACAAUAUUAUUUGACACAAAUCUAUCUAAAUCAAAAUUUUAAACAUUUUUACUCCAAAUAUUUACUGGACUGAUUUAAACAUUAAAGUCACUCCUUUCUAAUCCUCUGCUGUACGUUCAAACCUGAGGCCUUAAAUAGAAACACACAAGUAUCUGAUUGAAGGAACUUCUGCAGAGUCCUGGUUCCAGAACAUGAUGAUAGAAUUAUAGACAAACUUUAACAAAAGCUGCCUGAGAUUUUACAGGUUUUUAUGUUAGAUUUCUUCAGUAAUUUAAUGAGAGUUAUCAGCAAAAAUCAAGUGAUCAUUUGAUGAACUUCAUUUCCUAAAACAUCCAGAAUUGGAGCUCAUAUCUUUGGCAGCUGUAAAGUUUCUGCUCCUUCAAAGUUCACAACACAAUGAAUGAAUUCCUAAAACACUCUCAGUGCUGGAGAGCGUUUGAUGCUGAAGCAGUGACCAGUUUUUCUGUUUCUUUUCUGGAGAUGCACAAUGAGGGACGUCUGCAGAGACUGAGAAAGAGUCUCACCACAUCCUGACAUGAGGAAAAAGACUUUAUUGAAGACUACAAUGAGAAAAACUAUCAGACAGCAGACGGCAUGCAUUCAAGUCUGUAGCUGCUGAAUUCAUGGAUGAAUCAUCUGGCACUAGAGAGGAAGACCAUCAAACAUCCACGUCAGCUGAUGGAGGUCCAAGAGUCUCACCCAACAAACAACCUACAGAGUGAAGACCUCGAAUCUGAUUGGACGGCCUCUUAUUCAGCCACAUGUGUGAACAAAUGCCUCUAAGCUGAUUUGUUUUCUAAAAUAAAUCUAGUUUGAGUCCUAA